rnacentral:misc_RNA from 1 species
UCUCCGUAGGUGAACCUGCGGAGGGAUCAUUACAGAGUUCAUGCCCUACCGGGUAGAUCUCCCACCCUAUGUUAUUAUUACUUUGUUGCUUUGGCGGGCCGUUAGGCUCCGGCCCGACUACCGGCCCCGGCUGGUAAGCGCCCGCCAGGGGACCCAAAACCCUGAAUAUUAGUGUCGUCUGAGUACUAUAUAAUAGUUAAAACUUUCAACAACGGAUCUCUUGGUUCUGACAUCGAUGAAGAACGCAGC